UUGCUGUGAUGACAAUCUUAGGACACCUUUGGAUUAACCAUGAAAAAAACAAUGUUCUGAGCAAC
ensembl:snoRNA SNORD58 Small nucleolar RNA SNORD58